AAAGAAACCAACAGGGAUUGCCUCAGUAACGGCGAGUGAAGCGGCAACAGCUCAAAUUUGAAAUCUGGCCCUAGGCCCGAGUUGUAAUUUGCAGAGGAUGCUUUUGGCAAGGUGCCUUCCGAGUUCCCUGGAACGGGACGCCAUAGAGGGUGAGAGCCCCGUCUGGUCGGACACCGAGCCUCUGUAAAGCUCCUUCGACGAGUCGAGUAGUUUGGGAAUGCUGCUCAAAAUGGGAGGUAUAUGUCUUCUAAAGCUAAAUACCGGCCAGAGACCGAUAGCGCACAAGUAGAGUGAUCGAAAGAUGAAAAGCACUUUGAAAAGAGAGUUAAAUAGCACGUGAAAUUGUUGAAAGGGAAGCGUUUAUGACCAGACUUGGCCCGGUUGAUCAUCCAGCCUUCUGGCUGGUGCACUCUGCCGGUCCAGGCCAGCAUCAGUUCGUCGCGGGGGAUAAAGGUUUCGGGAAUGUAUCUCCUCCGGGAGUGUUAUAGCCCGUUGCGUAAUACCCUGCGGUGGACUGAGGUCCGCGCUCUGCAAGGAUGCUGGCGUAAUGGUCAUCAACGACCCGUCUUGAAACACGGACCAAGGAGUCGUCUUCGUAUGCGAGUGUUCGGGUGUAAAACCCCUACGCGUAAUGAAAGUGAACGCAGGUGAGAGCUUCGGCGCAUCAUCGACCGAUCCUGAUGUUCUCGGAUGGAUUUGAGUAAGAGCAUACGGGGCCGGACCCGAAAGAAGGUGAACUAUGCCUGUAUAGGGUGAAGCCAGAGGAAACUCUGGUGGAGGCUCGCAGCGGUUCUGACGUGCAAAUCGAUCGUCAAAUAUGGGCAUGGGGGCGAAAGACUAAUCGAACCUUCUAGUAGCUGGUUUCCGCCGAAGUUUCCCUCAGGAUAGCAGUGUUGAACUCAGUUUUAUGAGGUAAAGCGAAUGAUUAGGGACUCGGGGGCGCUAUUUAGCCUUCAUCCAUUCUCAAACUUUAAAUAUGUAAGAAGCCCUUGUUGCUUAAUUGAACGUGGGCAUUCGAAUGUAUCAAC
rnacentral:rRNA from 1 species